UACAGAGGUCUCAAGCGUUGUUCGGAUUCAUUGGGCGUAAAGGGUGCGUAGGCGGUUCGUCGCGUCGGCUGUGAAAUCCCGAGGCUCAACCUCGGGUCUGCAGCCGAUACGGGCAGACUAGAGUUCGGCAGGGGAGACUGGAAUUCCUGGUGUAGCGGUGAAAUGCGCAGAUAUCAGGAGGAACACCAGUGGCGAAGGCGGCUCACUGGCCCGGUACUGACGCUGGAGGCACGAAAGCGUGGGGAGCAAACAGG
rnacentral:rRNA from 1 species